AGUGAACGCUGGCGGCGUGCCUAAUACAUGCAAGUCGAACGGAGUGGCGCACGGGGGAGUGAUAUAUAGCUAAUCUGCCCCUUGCUGGAGGGCAACAGUUAGAAAUGACUGCUUAUACUCCCUAGCAAGAGAUGAGACGAUAUCGUAUCAGCUAGUCGGUGGGGUAACGGCGUACCGAGGCUAUGACGCGUAACAGGUCUGAGAGGAUAAUCAGUCACAUUCGAACGGAGGCACCGUUCAAACUCAUACGGGAAGGGGCAGUAGGGAAUAGUGCGCAAGGGGGGAGACCCUGACGGAGCAACGCCGCGUGGAGUAUGAUAAGUUUCGGAGCGUAUACUCCUGUUGUUAGGGAAGCGGUACCUAACGAAUAAGCACCGGCUAACUCCGUGCCAGCAGCCGCGGUAAUAC
rnacentral:rRNA from 1 species